rnacentral:rRNA from 1 species
AUUGAACGCUGGCGGCAGGCCUAACACAUGCAAGUCGAGCGAGCGGCGGACGGGUGAGUCAUGUCUGGGACACUUCCUGAUGGCGGGGGAUAACUCCUGGAAACGGUAGCUAAUACCGCAUACCAUCAGAUGUUCCCAGAUGGGAUUAGCGAGUAGGUGGGGUAACGGCUUACCUAGUCGACGAGCCCUAGCUGGUCUGAGAGGAUGACCAGCCACACUGGAACUGAGACACGGUCCAGACUCCAACGGGAGGCAGCAGUGGGGAAUAUUGCACAAUGGGCGCAAGCCUGAUGCAGCCAAGCCGCGUGAAUGAAGAAGGCCGUCGGGUUGUAAAGUGCUGUCAGCGAGGAGGCGUUACUCGCAGAAGAAGCCACGGCUAACUCCGUGCCAGCAGCCGCGGUAAUAC